GGAGGCGAUGCUAGCGAGGAAACCGGUGGUCGACGGGAUCCCGCGGAUGCCAAGCUGCGCAAGAGGGAUCUAGCGCUCAAGGGAGCCGAUGAGACGCGUGCGGCGGUCCAGGGGACCUAGCUAAGGCGAGGCGUCUGAGGGAAUCUGGCACUCGAGUGGCUGCCUCCAGGGUACUCUUGUUGGGUAACCUGUUCUUCUCGAUGGUGCUCCAGCAACUGCAUAAUUCAGGCUGGAGGUGAUUGAGGGUACUGUACACGAGGACAUGUGUAUGGGAACAACAAUACACCAGGCCCCCCCUAUAUUUCUUUUCUUUUCAUGUACGAUUCCUUUUUCCACAAAACAAUUUCUUUGCCCUGACAUACUGCCAAUCCAAUUUGUACAUACAGGUAAUGUUGUUGGCGAUGGUCAAUUGAUUUGAGCAUAUUUGGAGACUAGUGGGCGCGGCUGUACUGCCGAGUCACCACCGGAGAGAGGAUCCCAGAGGAGAUGGGCAGAUGCUCCAGAGGAUUUUGUCAGUUGAUUUUGUACCUCAAUCCGAGAGGGGGCGGGGGG